CCAUCUUAUUUACAGUUGUUUCCUUUAAAACAUUUCUAGAUAAUUUUUUUUUCAUUAUUUUUAUUUAAAAUCUUCCAGGUAAUCUUUAUUCGUAUAAAGCUCAAAAUCUAAAGCAACAAAUAAAAAGUAGGAUUUAAAA